rnacentral:rRNA from 1 species
GACGAACGCUGGCGGCGUGCUUAACACAUGCAAGUCGAACGGAAAGGCCCUGCUUUUGUGGGGUGCUCGAGUGGCGAACGGGUGAGUAACACGUGAGUAACCUGCCCUUGACUUUGGGAUAACUUCAGGAAACUGGGGCUAAUACCGGAUAGGAGCUCCUGCUGCAUGGUGGGGGUUGGAAAUUUUCGGCGGUUGGGGAUGGACUCGCGGCUUAUCAGCUUGUUGGUGGGGUAGUGGCUUACCAAGGCUUUGACGGGUAGCCGGCCUGGGAGGGUGACCGGCGACAUUGGGACUAAGAUACGGCCCAGACUCCUACGGGAGGCAGCAGUGGGGAAUAUUGCACAAUGGGCGGAAGCCUGAUGCAGAAACGCCGCGUGCGGGAUGACGGCCUUCGGGUUGUAAACCGCUUUAGCCUGUGACGAAGCGUGAGUGACGGUAAUGGGUAAAGAAGCACCGGCUAACUACGUG